UAAGAACUCAUGCUUGUUGCAACUUGUUGCCAUGAGCUUAUUGUCUUCUCCAUGUUUGAAAGAACUGAAGCUAUCACCACUAAUAGAAGUGGUAGUCCCUUACAAUUUUCUGCAAUUUGGUUUCCUAUAUCUCGCAGCUCUUGAGGGCAACGAUCGUUCUCGAACACAUUCUGCUCUAAUAAUUUCCAACUUUCAUUUUUUGACAGAGGAGGAGGUUCAACGAUAUCGAUAUCAUCAGAAAUUUCUUUUGCCACAUCUUUCUGCCGACUGGUGAACAAUAUUCUGCUUCCGCUUUCGUUAUUUGGAAAAUACGUUUCCAACUCAUUCCAUGGACCUAUAUCCCAUAUAUCAUCCAUAACAAUGAGGUAUCUUCUACCACUUAAACUUUGAUGAAGAUGUAAGGCCAUGUCUCCAUCUUCCAUUUUCAAAAUUAUGUCUCUGUUAAGAUUACUUAUGGAGCUCAAAAUGUCAAUCAACAGCUUUCUCUUUCUAUAAGUUUGAGAAACAACACACCAAGAAAGCUUAUCAAAAUGGUCCUUAACAUUGGAAUGAUUGUAUAUCUUCUUUGCUAAUGUUGUCUUACCUAGUCCAGGCAUCCCAACUAUGGAAAUAAGCUGGCGGUUUUUUGUUCCUCGAAGAAGCUUUUGUAGAAUUUUUGUUGUACUGUCCUCGUUGCCCACAGUAAUCUCAUUUAUCUUGGAAAUGCUUUGUAGGCUUUCUGCAUCUUGUCCGCUUUCUGAUGAUACGUCCCUUGGAUUUUCUGCAACUUGUAAGCUUCCACUUCCGCAGUUCACCUCCUCUGAGAAUGCAAUGCAGUGAUCUUUGAUUCUCACUUGCAGAAUCUCAAUCCUUUCUACCAGAGCAGUAAGUGCCAGAUCCAUUUUGGUCGCUGUAACGAGGUCGGCGGUGAAAAAGAACGAAUGC
rnacentral:lncRNA from 1 species